rnacentral:rRNA from 1 species
UACGGAGGGUGCAAGCGUUAUCCGGAUUCACUGGGUUUAAAGGGUGCGUAGGCGGUUCCGCAAGUCCUGUGUGAAAUCUUCGGGCUCAACUCGAAGUCUGCACGGGAAACUGCGGGCUUGAGUGUGGGAGAGGUGAGUGGAAUUCCCGGUGUAGCGGUGAAAUGCGUAGAUAUCAGGAGGAACACCGGUGGUGUAGACGGCUUCUGGACCGUAACUGACGCUGGAGACACG